GACCAGCCGCAACCGCGCUACCAUCCCCUCCCUGUUCCUCUCCCGUGGCAAGUCCUCCGAGAAGCAGCCCAAGGGCAGCCGCCUGCCGCUCGGUGGCCGGACGCCGAGAAGCGCCGCUGCUUUGGCUCCGCCGUCUCCUUCGCCCUGCCUGCCGGAUCCACGCCGUCGUCCUCGCGUGCACACGGCAGAUGCUCCGCCUCUUACUCUCGUUCGGCCAGAUCCACGGUGCACGGCCUCUCGCGCUCGCUCGCGACCCUGAGCCGUGGCAAGGGUUUCAGGCUGGGCAUCGGCUUCGUCGCCCGCGCGGCUCCGGUGGAUUCCGACGGCUCCUCUCCGUCUCCUCUCUCGCCCCCACGCGCGGCUCCGCUUCCCGAUGGCCAUGAGGUGCAGCCUUGCAUCGUCCUCUUCUCCUUUUCCUUCUCAGGCAAAUUUUGUUUUGGUUCACUGCUCAAUUUCUUUGGUUAAUCUUCGUGCACUGACCACUUGGUGUUGUUGAUGGCGCAGAUUGUGGCGAGGUUGAGCGUAUGGAGCAGAGGGACCAGGGCCGGCCGAUGGCUUGUUUCCUCUAUACGUACUUGAUGGUUAGCCCAUGUAGCAGAUCGACUGAUUCUGAGAAAGGAAAAAAAUGGUAACAAAACGACUAAUUCUUGGCUUGCUGCAUGCGCGUGAUCUUCUCUGGUUUCUCUUCCCCAAUUGGCAACGAACCAGCCAUGCCAAGGUCAACGGCGCCUUGUCCACACCGUCUAAUUGCGAUUUCCGGCUGUUGGGUGUGAUUAGUGCAGGAAGAUCCGUUGCUGCUACAGAACCCAACUCCUGAGCACGUCGGAGUUGAGCAAGAAGACAGGAGGAGGUGUCGAGGACGAAGAGGCCCCUCUUCCUUUUUGGUCCACGCCGCUACGAAAGUGAUAUUAGGUGAACUUGUUAUACUCUUUCUGGUUCAAUGGAACUUACCUACGCACAUUAG